GAUCAAAGGAACCGCGUAGGUUUUGCUUUAUCACAGUGGUUAUAUACUGCCUGUGGUAUUUACGAACAUGCAGUAUAUCCAUCGUGCCAAUGCGAAACUACCUAUCAUCGUAAAAUCGA
rnacentral:precursor_RNA from 10 species